rnacentral:misc_RNA from 1 species
GUAAACGCAUUCCUUGUGAAGCCGACUCGCUGCCAUUUUUCUUCGAUCAGGCGGUACGGAUCUCCGUUUCUAGAGUGAUGGUGGGCUGGCAGAGACAUUUGCAGUCCUUACUUCGCCAGGUUGGGAAAAGGGUGGAGCACAAUUACACUGCUCUUGCAAACUUUUCCUCUUCUUCUCGUGUGGAAUCCUCUUUUUUAACUGGCGAAUUACCAUAUUUACAGAGAUUAUGGAAAUCACCUUCUGCCAAUGUACUGAGGCCUUUCCAUCAGUAUUUGCAGCAGUCGGGAAUCUCAAGUUCAAUGAAAUUACUUGCAGAUUCUUUUGAGGAAACACCCAUUCGAUCUCCACUGACUCCUGCUUUAACUCCACUAAGCAGUGGAAAAACUAAAGAACAGAAAGCAGUCUCUAAACCAUCAA